AUGCUCCAGCUCGUGCUGGGCGGGAGUGAUUGUGUGGAUCUGCAGGUUCUCCAGCCCUGUCAGGGUUGUUUUCUUCCCUGUUCAUCAUUUUUAAAAGUGGAUGUGGGAGACAGCUGGCUCAAAUUCCACACCCACCCACACCAGUAGCUGCCUCAGUGUCAACAGUUGACAAGCCUGAAUUGUGAAGUGCUUCAAGAAUAGUGAAAAAGUUGAGCCUGCUAUGCUGAGAAAUCCUUUAUUCCCCUGCAGGAAUGAUGCAUAAGCCAAAGGUUAGAACUAUUUUAUUUCUGGGUGCGUAUAUCUAUGGAUGUGACUGACUGUAAUGUAAAUCAAGGUUUUUAAGCAAUACCAAAAAUACAGUAGAUUUGUUAAUAUGAUGAAUCUUUAAACAGCAGAGGACACUGAGUAUGUAUACUUUUUAUUUUUGGUCAUUUAAACUAGGAAUAUUCAAAUGAUGUUCAGCAAAUAUUUGCUCCUGGUUUUAAAUAAACUUUGGCUUAUCCUGAUACUCCUGCCAUGUUUGCUUUGCGCAACAGUCCAGAGAAAGGAUUUAUUUGUCAGAUCACAUCUGUGAGUGAUUCUUGGUCUGUAUUUUCUUUACAAGCAUUUAUUAUGUAGGUCGAAACACAGGGAUUCAAACUUCAGGAUGUGUUGGGUAGCUGCUGUGCAUUUUGGUUCCGUGCGUAAGGAACAGAGCAAUUAGAAUUGCAUUUCCUCAGGGGAUAAUUAUGUUUACAAAUUUCAAACAUGCUCUCUGCAAAUACGCUGGAGUACUAGCCUAAAUUGUUUUGUUCCCACAAGCACAGCAGAUGAUUUUAUCUUCCUCUUUGACACCGGACUGCCCAGUUAGCCCCUCCUUUUUCACAGCUGCCCUACAUUACUUCACCACCUUCUUGUAGAAACCAGUUACAGAAGCAAGAGAGAGAUUAUUACCCGGCAUCUUCCCUAAGAGACAGACUACAGAAAAUAUUUCAUGUCAAUAAUUCAGACUGUUCAGCUUAAGUGACCUGUGAAGCCUGAGGAUGAAGACUGGGAGAAGUCACGAAGCAGAGAAGAGUGCAGUCUAGGAAAUACCAGUUCUUCUUUUAAUACAGAUGCAACAAAGCCGAAGAUAAAUCAUAACGUACAAAUAAUGAGGCAAUACAAAAUUACAGAUCUUAUCAAGUAUGCAUGUUUUUACAGCUUCACCGAGCUGCAGAUGGACAGUAGCCUAAGAUCAUAGAACAUUGGCUAAUCACCAAGCUGUUUGUACUUUAUAAAUCACCUCAACCCAUAGCUGGAGACGUGGCUUUUAAAGCAAGCUUUAGCCGCAGCACUGAAGUUUGUCUAAUCAGCUAAGCUCCUGGGUUUGUCAAAAGGAACAGAAUGGUGAGGCUUUGGUUUGCACCCAUCUCAGCCAAAGGAAAUUCUCCAAAACUCAAGAAGUCCUGUGUGCCUGGACAAAGGAGGAGAGACGUCCCUGAUCAGGACGACCCACACAACUGCGCACAGGAUGCUCUGCAAGGCAAUCCUUGAAUCAAGUCAGGGUGAGACAGAUCUGACCAUGCUUACUCCAGUGACUGCUUUUUAAGAGUGGCACUGAGAUCAGCAAAGUCAAACUCUUUCCCCUUUCCAUGAGCGCAUAUGAUGCCUGAUCCUACACACAGGUAAGCUGUUUGCUGUGACUCUGGCAGGCUGAGUAAGCAUUCUCUCAGGGACCCAUAAAUUCCCUCCUGCAGAGAGCUGCUGGGGAUUAAUAAGUUUAUUCUAAAUCUUCUCUGCCUUCUUCCCUGACAGCUAAUAAUCCUCUUUCACUAUGGAUGGGAGCUCAACAUCAGGGGGUAUAAAAGAUGAAUUUUAACUUUUAAAACUAAUCUACCUCUGAUCUGGUGUGAGGCUGGCACAUGCCUUACACUCUUGGUGCAGAAGCUACCGUUGAAUUUCCCUCAUAUUUACACUUGCUCUUGGCCCUGCAUUUUUUAACAUGCCUGUUCUCCUGUCUUUCAAUUUCAGGACACAUGCCAACCUAAGAAAACCUGCAAGCAAGGAAAGAGUGGUUUAAGAGAAUACCAUAUUCCAGAUCUUGCAUGAAAGGACACCUUAUAGCAGAAAUAACGUUGUGCUAAGCAGAUGCAGUUUAGCAACAUGGCCGUGUUAUAAGGGAUCACAAUUAUUACUUGCACAGUUUAACAGCCACAUUUGUUUUGACCCUAUAUUUUGCAUUUAAUCCACACAGUGCUGGGAAUUCACACAAAGAGUGAGAGAGAGGGAGAAAUCCCUGUUCAUGUUCACAGUUCAUUAUAUAUUCAAACUUCCUUUGAAAGUCUUUCACUGAAUAAUAAGUUGCUAAGCUUUCCCAGUGCUCCCUGUCUCUGAGGCCAGAGUACAAAUACUUUCCCAGUAAUUAUGGAACAAAAAAAAAAGGAAAGAAGUUAUAGCAACUUGAAAACUCCAGGAUGACCUUGAAAAAACCCUCAAAGUUUACCCAGGAUGGUCUCCUUGUUGUCUUAGACUACACCCCAACCUUGCUAUUCCUAAUGGGAAUAGCCCAGACUCUUCCUGGUUAUUUCUUAUGUAGAUGGAGAUGAAGCACACUAGUUAUUUGGAUUCAGCACAUACUAAACAGAAUUUACAGGUUGUAAAGCGAGCAUCAUGUCUCUGAUUAGGUCCUUUAUUGUUCAUCACAGCUGAGUGUCAAACAGAAAUGUUAGCACCUCUGUUCUUCAGGGACACAGUCACAGAGCUGUAAAAAAAAAAUUAGUUAGAGUGGGGAUAUUAAUUACACAUCACCUGCCAUUUUUUAUUUCCUUUGUCAUUUAGUCAAAAAGCAGGUACAAUGUGGAAAAAUUAAGGCACAAGUUACCAUCUGACAUUUUGGUGGCGUUUACUGAAUUUUAUCAGACCACAUGCACCUGCUCUUACAGAGAACUUGCUUACAGAGGUGAGAUGUCAACACGACUCUGGCAUCCCUGGUUUGGUUAGGCCAGGUAGACCUGGCUCUAGGACAUGGCUGUGGGCAUGGGAGGCUGCCCAGGGGCCUCCAUGAUCAGCAGCUGCCACAGGGACGGGCCCCUUCCCUGUCCCUGACCUACUAACUUUCAUGUGCCCAUUGCUGUCUUCACAGCAAUGUCAUAUGCCCAAUUCUGGCAGAAUAAAAAAGCCUAAGUUGCUUUCCAGCUAAAUCACCAACAUAUCAUGCCAGAGUGUCACAUGCAAGCGGCAGGCAUCUGUGUCAAGCUGAGCUGGCCUGCGAGGCAAACAUACAUCUAAAGAGCUGAUUUUCAGGAUUUGCAGUUGUCCCACUCAGGCAGUGCAGUAGGCGCCUCCCCCAGUUCUGGGGCUCUACAAGGGAGGAGGGGUUGAAUUCACCUAUGACCACCCAAAUAAUUGCUCACAUAAUUUUAAGAUAAAAGUUUUACUUUGUUUUCUGGGUGUUAUUCAAGGCAGAAGGACUCUUUGCUCCAGCCCCAGAAAUGGACACAUGGUGUUUUCACACAAAAGGGUCCAUCUCUUUAAUGGAUCCCUAGUGAUUUCAGUAGAUCUCCACUGCCAGACACAAACAGUCAAAUGUAAAAUAUGAAUACUGGCCAGCAUGAAACUGUGCUUACCCAGAAAGAAACACAGAGAUGUCACUUCUUUCUUGUUGCAGAGGAGUGAAGAAGCCCUAUACAAAAAAAUAGCCAAAAGUAUCAAAUUCAAGUAAGAGAAAGGAAGAGUUUUCCCCUUGAUGAACACGUAGGUGCCAGAAACCAGUUGCGAUAGGAUACACGCAGGCCAGGAAUAAAGGCAGAUUCAAGGAGGUAUGAAGAUAGCAUGGAUAUGGGGAGUUGGACAAGAUGAUAUCCAGAGGUAAUUUCCAACCCCAACCAUUCUGUGAUUCUGUGUUAUCUCACAGUAUUAUAACUAUUGUGAUCCCUUUUUAAGCCCAUAGAGCAAAUUUGAGGAGAGGGAUAAUGAGGAUGUGGGCAGAUUACCUGACACCUGCUUACCCCAGGACAACCCUUGGGCCCUACUUAUAAAGCUACUCAUUUGAGAGGGGCUUCUGGAGUUGGGGAUAACAGCUCACAGCCCAAACUACUCAGUUCCCAGAUUUUCUCUUACCCAUAAGCAUGUAGUAGCCAUGGCAGAGCUUGCUCCCUCCCUUCCGUGCUCACUGCCAUGGUCCCACGGGCCUUCGCACAGCUGGAUAGAAGCAGAAGGUGUUUGCGCAGCUGGUAUCUGAGAGGGCUCUUUGAAUCCCACAGCAAUUCUAGGGUUUGUCUGCCAGGGCUGCAGUAGUGUCUAGCUGAGUCCUAAGGAAUUCACCCACGUGCUAAUCAGAGUCAGUUAGCUUGCAGGAUCAUAUCUCAGCAAGAACCUGGAAUUGCUCAUUUAGGUUCAAAAUUAAACUGUCAGUCACAGAAGAUGAUUCAGAGGUAAAUGCUAACCUGCAAACCAUAUCUUCCAGGGUGCCGGCUGCCUUGCAAAGCAACUUGUCAGAGCAGGAGAUCCUGAGAGAGCAUCUGGGGCAAGGUGGUGAGUCUGCCAUGGAAGGAGGUGCUGAGUCUGUCACCGUCGUAUUCAUCACUAAGGCUUUGUACCCCCUCUGCCCAUCGUGUCCAUUGUCACACGGUGGUAGAGCAUGAAACUGAAGUCUGAGGUUGUGUCAAACCAUGGGAUAACAGCUAGCAAAGAGAGCAUCCAGCAUGCAGCAAGGCACAGCAGUGUGACUCAGUACCCUCCUGUUUUUCCAGGCAACUCACACGUCUAAUAUUCCACCUUCUCUGUUUCCCCCACCAUCUCAUUUCGAGCUUUUAUGUACGACACGCUUUCUGAUGAUUGAUUUGAGCUAUUCUUAUUUUAUCAAAUUAAAGAAGACAGAAAAUACAACAAGAAUUAACCAUCAACCCCGGUGGAAGGCUAAAAGAAACUUCCUCUAGAAACCUGUGAAAAAUAAGCGUAUUAAGUCACUAAAAUGGAGCAUCCAGGCAUAAAACGUGUUGAUUGAUAAAGGGCUUUGGUUCCAUUUAGUACAACAAAGUAUUUCAUUUUUUGAGCACAGAAUAGUAAAAAAUCUCACAAAUGCCAGCAAUGUUAAAUUAAUCUUUUGUUGUUUCCCUUCUUUUUGAAGCUGAUGCUUUUUUCAGGUAGUGCCCAGGACAUUUAUUGUCACCUACUCAGAGACACCGUUCUGUCAGGAACUAAGGAAGAAACAGAGAUGCUCCAAUGCUGCCAAAGUCAAUCAGGGAUUGCAUGGAUGAUUAAAAAAAAAGCCCUCCACCUAAAAAUUCUGGGAGACCCGGAACCCCUAAAACCGAACAGGCUAGAAGAAAGAAGAGUGGCCAUUUGAAGUUUAGUGGCUGAAGAAGACACUGGGAUGCCUGGGAUUAAUGACAUCCAUCAUUCAGCUUAUCAGAGAGGACUGACUGCAUGGACUUGCUCUGAAGAAGAUACCUGACAGUGAACGUCUGUGUCAUCAGAAAGCAUCACAGGGUCAAGGCUUCCUGAAAUGGCUGCACCCUCCAAGGAAAGCAAGUGAUGGGCCAGAGAAUGAACAGAGUUUUACCCUGCAUCUCCAGCUGCUGGCCUGUGAGCUGUCUAAAUCAAUGAUGUUUGCUAAUUUGGCCAUAUCAAUGUUUCAUGUGCCUAGUAAAACCUAUCACCCUUUAAGUCUCAAAAUAGCUUGACCCAGUUAAGUGGAAUAAUUCUAAAGAGGAUUUCAAUGUUUCUUUAAAUUUGCUUCCAUUUUUUUUCCUUUAACUGGUCCCGUAUUUUAUGUGAGAGGGGCAGAAUACUUGUUUAUUAGCAAGUACAUUCCCACCUUAGUUUCUUUUUAUUAACAAAGGAUCUCUCUUUGGAGCUAUUCAUACCUGGUAUUUGCCCAGACCUACUUUCCACUGUGUUGAACAAAACCUUUGAGAAGAAUGUAUUUUUUCUUAAGUGAUUUCAAAAGUAUAUUAAGGGAAGCCUUACUCCGCAGAUUCCUUUGUGAGCUGCUAACGGGAAUUUAAAUUGUACUUUUUGUAACAGAAAGGAACUUCUAACAGCAGAUAAAUUGUGAACUGCUUCAUGUGUGGGACAUCCUUUAUAUUUAUUGAUUUGAAGCACUACUAUAUGAAUUUCUUCAAAAGAACCAAAAUAGUCAGAAACACUCUAAAUUAAAAAUAAAAAUAUUGUUUUACUAUGAAAUCCGCAAAGGCAGUAUAAGUGAUUCUAGGAAAAUCAUAUAGUUGACUGGAGGAUAUCCUCCAUGGGUUUGAGCUCCAGCGCUUGGAGAUGGCUUCCUCAAUUAAUAAAAUAAUAAUUUUAAAAAAAUCAUUCCUAGUUCCUAGUUCACACUUGGGGGACAAGUGGACAACAGGUCUGGUCCUGCAGCAAGACCUGCUGAGCAAACAGGGCAGAGCCCCAGAGGGGCAGCUAACACAUGCUCCAGGUCAAGCUGGGCAAGUGUUGGGCUUGCACGGAAAGAAGAGUUUACUAGAAACUGAGCUAAGAGUGCACUCGGGGACUGUGCAGGGUCUCAGUCAUGUAACACUUGUCAAAAGGAGAGCUUCACACUGCAGAGCCGAGCUCAGCCCAGCAUCAUCCUUUGCCCCAAUAUAACCAGGGAGAGAAGAAUGAACCCCACGCUUUCAUAAGUAUUGUCCAAAAGUCACGUUGUUUUGCCAGCAAACUUUCCAACCAGCCUUAGGCAGGUUAUAGAGGAAGAUUUAGAGCCUUGUAAAUUUAUCAGAGGUAAUCUUUAAUCAUAUGCGUGGUGGUAGCGGGGAGCACUGGUGAGAAAGGGAACACAGUGGUGGCUAGGCUGAGCCUUGCUGGGAAAGGCAGCAGUUUCCUGCAGCUCUGUGUGAACAAAUCUACAUGUUCAAUUAAUUUAGUGCCAGCCCUGCCUGCAUACACAGUUCAGAAUUUUUCCCUGAGAUGAAAAUAAAUGAUUCCACACUCCCUGUUUAACACUAACACUCAAUUUCUUGCGCUGCCAGUGGACUUGAUUUGUAAGAACACAAGGUCAAAAUGAAGGGUGUGGGCAUAUUGCUCCGAGCGAUUGUCAAACACAUUAACAAGAACAUAAAAAUAAGAAGUUUUGACAAAAGAGACUGAAAUAGAAGAAGCAGAUUGCAGAUAAAUUCCACUUUACCUCUACAAAUACAAAGAAAUUUCACUACUGUUCACAUAAAACAAAGAAAAUAAUAAGCAAGUGAGGAUAUAAGUAUUUUUUACUUAACAGAAAAUUCUUUACUCUUAUAGCCCCCCUUACACUUGACCUUAAUUAAUGUAAAACGCUCUGCAGGCAGAUGUAGGUGGACAGCAAAAAGAGCCUGUGUUCAAUUCUUAGGUGUCGCUAACAAAUACCAUCUUCGGGUCCCACCCUGAGCCAUUUGGAUGCUGGCUGAGGUGCAGCUCCUACUUGCAAACAGUAAAUCAAUUGGCUGAACAAAACAAUGCUUUACUGAGGGAAGAAAAGGCCAACAGGAAGACAAGCAGGCAAAUACGUGACAACCACCAAGCGUUUUCCGGAGUACAGAGGUACUUUAAAGCCCACCUUUCAUUUUCAGGUGAGGCAACUGCCAGCCCACUGGCCACUGCCCUCCUCUUGUAGUAACUCAGCACGCCCAGCUGGCAAGUUCUCUUCUCUGAUCCAACCCACCUUGCUGGACAGGAGACCUUCAGUGAAGAUACAGCUGAUGUAACAGCAUGAGCUGCCCAUGGUUGAUACCAUUGAGACCCCCCCACUAGCUCAUCCCACUGUUUCCUCGUCUCUGUGCUAAAAAGGCCACGUAGCAAGAAGUCACAGACUGCUAUCCAUGUGGACCACAUUUUUCAAGACCUUUUUACCCUAAGGCACCAAACUACAGCCUUAUCUAUGUUUUCCACAGCCUGGUCUCACUUCUGCAUAGUCAGUUCUCCAAACUAUUAUAUGUCUUUUGUGAUUCAGCUUGUCUCCUUUUUUAAGAAGAAAAUCUUCCCAAAUCUGGUAAAAGAAAACCCACAAAUUUAGUACAUCUCGGGGUCUUCCCCUCGGGUCCUUCUCUCUGACAAGUCAAAAUCAUCCUGCUCAGGACUCCCAUCCACCUGGAGCUCUCUUUUAAGGUCUGGUCUUAUCUCUCAGGACUACAUUGGACCACUGUGCUCCGGUUCAGGGAUGCUACACAGUGCGUGCUCUAAAAGUUCCCUUUCCUCUCUCUUCCAGCUAUAGUUUCUCAUCUACAGUUUUUAAGCAUUGCAGAAGUACUUUUUAAUUACCUAUUUAAAAGCUCUUCAUAAUUUGAUGACCUUUGAUAGCUCCUCCCUUUAAAAUUCCUUGAAGCCUUCCUUGUUUUCUGUGCCCUGGGAGCUGCUUUCAUGAUGUUUAAUGUGAAACCGUCUUCCAGUCAGACCACGCAGACUCUUUGCUUCUUGUCAGACCCAAUGAAAAGACUCUGAACCUGAAACCUUGUCCAUUUUUUCCCCAGAAAAGUCCAGUAAAACAUAGCCUCUUUCCCUAAAAUCCUUGCUUACCUCAGACCACCCUGACCAAACAGUGACCCUGUUGUCAUGUACAAUCCGGGCAGCACUGUGGCUCUGAGGUCACUUGGAAGGGUGGCUGUCUGGGCAAAGAAAUAUUUGUAGGAUCCUUUUUAGUCUCCAGCACAAGGCAGGAUGGCUGGAGUAGAAAGACCGCUUCAUUAGCCUGCUCCACCCACAAGGCUCUCCCACAGACCUUUAGAAAACACUCCAGGUGCCUUUUGUCUCUUGGGAUAUUCAGUCAUAUUAAGGCAUACUAGUCGAGGAGUGAGUUAGAAAUGCACUGAUUUCUUUUCAAGACAAUCCCCAAAAUGACCUUUACUUUCAAUGUCUCAGUUUGGCAUGUGCAUUAGCAGCAAACUAUUUCCUCUCACUGCACGAUAGUCCUUCACUCUCUUAACUAUCCCUUAUGCCUUCUUUUGCCUCACUCUAGCAGUGCAGAGGGAAGUGCUGAUACAAGACUGCCUGACAAGCUGCCAGAUUUUUAAUUCAUGCUUAAAAAGUGGUAAGGGGAGCCUGGGAGCAUUAUUUCCACAGGCUGAAAGAACAGAACUGAAAUAAAACCAUGCUGAUAAAACCUGCACCAGAAACGAUCUGAAAAGGGAUUCUUUUCAACCAAGUAUCAGGCUUGACCUUCAGCUUGGCAAAGCACGUAAGCCUUUCCCCUCCAGCAUCAGCUUCUCUGUAUCACUUGCCCAAGUUUGUGUAUUUCACAGUGUUCAAAGUACCCUCACAUCAUUGUCAGGGUAGCCUGCCAAACCUCUGCCCAGGAUCUUCUCAGAAAAAUGAGUAGUCCCAGGACGUAAAGGAGCUGUUUCAGCCUCCUAAAUUCAGCAGAAUUAUUUCCAAGCAUUGCCACGCUGUUCUUCUGCUUUUCAAAGCAGAUUUGUUCCUCCGGCAGCCACAUGCCUCUCUGACAGGCAGAUGCCCUGAGAACGAAAACCAAGAAGCGGUAUCUGUGAAGCCCGAGUUCCUCCAGAUUUGCAGCCUGUCUCUUACACCAUCCCACCACAACCCACCACAACCAAGCCAGCCGCCCCAGUCCUCCCCACCAACCCCAAGACUGCAAAUACGCUGGCUGAUCUGGAGUUACACACAUGCCAACUGGAAAGCCACAAUCACUGAAAAUAAAGCAUAAAGCUGAGCAGUUCCUGCUUUUUUCUUCAUGACUGUUAAUUUGGGUAUCUCACACUCAGCCAGGUGAUGAUUUUCACAACACUUGAAAGAAAUUCUAUGUUAAACUUCAAAAAUCUCUCUCAGACUUGGUUUCUUUAUAUUAAAAAAUUAUUGGAAGACUGACAGACAUGUGGACAGAUGGACACACAACCUUAAGAGGCUGAGUUUGUUUAGAGACUCAGCUGAAAUACCACUUUCAUUCCAGACCCCCAAAAUACACUGAAAUUACCUGGGUUCAGAUGAUGACAAAGUGUGCAAUUUCAGCAUAUCUGAACAAGUCUGAGUGGAAGCCAAUGAUUUCAGAUACAUUUGGGCUUGUCUGUUUGGCAUUUUUCUGACCCAUGUGUCCAAGUGAAACCCUUUGCUACAGUGGAGAGGGGAAAGGCAAAUUCACUGAACUAAAAAAUAGCAGGAAAAUGCCAUGUGAACGUUUGGAUUGGACUCUGAGGAAAGCUUUCAAGUGAUCAAUGACACUGAGGAGGUUAGGAGUUCCUUCAUGGGUGGACAAACAUAUCAGAGUUGCUUUUGAUGUACUUGGUCCUGCCUCUGUGUGCAGGAGUGGGUGACAGGACAGAGUCGUCACUGCCAUCCCUGCAUUUCAGUGAUUCCAGAUUUCAUGUACUGCCGCUAAGCUUCUCUUUCCCUGGUCCUGUGUUUCUAUCAGCUCUUCUCUGUUAGGCUUUUCUCUGUUGCUGUAUCUGUGUCAUCCCUGAGUAUCAAAACAACUGCCCUGUUCUCAUUUUCAUGCUUCUCUGUUGCAAAUCCUUAAUCUGUUAAUACUGUUUUCUGCUGUGCCCUGAUACUGUAAACAUCCACUCUUCUUCCCCAUAAGAUACAGCUUCUCUUUUGGUGUGUUUUUAUCCAUGCUUAUCAUCAGAAGACUACUUAGCUGGUGGGAUAAUCUAGGCCUGUCAUUUAAUCUCUCCUCUUCAGACCUGGCUGUACAAGAGUCUUUCCUCUCACCAUAUAUGACACAAAAAAGGUCUACUUUUCUCCUGGUGACUGAAAUGUUUCAGUUCUACCCUUGGUGCUGGGUUUAGAGGACACACAACAUGACCUGGUGCAUCCUUUCUUAGCAAUCUAGGAAAUCAGAAGCGUUAACAAUUUCAUGCAGAGCCUAAAGCAUUUUUUUGCCAUAAGCACUGCAGAAAGCUGGUUUUAAGUUUAUGUUCCAAGCAAGAGGCUGCUCCUUGAAAUAUAACAUCUCCAAUGUCAUUAAAGUGACCGUAGUGUGAACAAAAGCACAGGAAGGUUGAUCUCACUGAAGGAAAACUGGGAGAGUGUCUUCAGCUUCAGUAUACCUGUAGAGCAUUCAGCUCAGGGGAAAGUGUUAGUUUAUGCCCUGCAAAAAAGAGUCACUACUGCAUCUUCUAUCACUUUCAUUUGUGGACCACUGGAGUAGCAAUGUGUGGAGAAUAUGUCAAAGCCAGGAGGAAGGAAGCUAUGCUGUAAAAUGAUCUCUGGACUUAGCACCAGAAAUGUGUGUGCAGAAGUUCAAGGCAAAGCAGAGAUUGUCAUGUUACAGAGAGACUUGUCACUUCAUUCUUGCACUAGAGAAGUUAAAUCUGCACUGACCGUCUUUGCCUUCAAACACCAAUUCGGAAAACACCCUUCCAAAGCCAGACAAAUUCAUAAAGUAUGGGCUAUUCUUCCUCAAACACUGGUUUUUACUGCUUGGAUCAAAUAAAGAGGAUUUGUACUUCUUCCUGUUCCUA